rnacentral:rRNA from 1 species
AACGAACGCUGGCGGCAUGCCUAACACAUGCAAGUCGAACGAGACCUUCGGGUCUAGUGGCGCACGGGUGCGUAACGCGUGGGAACCUGCCCUUAGGUUCGGAAUAACUCCCCGAAAGGGGUGCUAAUACCGGAUAAUGUCUUCGGACCAAAGAUUUAUCGCCUUUGGAUGGGCCCGCGUUGGAUUAGCUAGUUGGUAGGGUAAAAGCCUACCAAGGCGACGAUCCAUAGCUGGUCUGAGAGGAUGAUCAGCCACACUGGGACUGAGACACGGCCCAGACUCCUACGGGAGGCAGCAGUGGGGAAUAUUGGAAAAUGGGCGAAAGCCUGAUCCAGCAAUGCCGCGUGAGUGAUGAAGGCCUUAGGGUUGUAAAGCUCUUUUACCCGGGAUGAUAAUGACGGUACCGGGAGAAUAAGCUCCGGCUAACUCCGUG